AACCCCGCUUCCCUUUUUCGCGCCCAUCUCCUCUUCGCGCCCAUCUCCUCUGGUUUUCCCUCAUUCUUUUCGCGCCUAUCUCCUCUGGAUUUCCCUCAAAUUUUUUUUUUUUUCUCCCACGCCUACGCCUCUGCCUCCUCUCUUCUUCUUUUUUUUUUCUUCUUCUUUGUUCUCCCUCAACCCAAGCCGCUCUUCCCUUCCCUCAACCCACGCCGCCAAUUCAUCUCCGCUUCACUACUCCCUCUGACCGAACCAUCAUCACAAACACAGCCUCUGCUCUUCUUCCUCUGAGUGAACCCAUACCGAACCCACUCUUCUCUCCCUGACUAAACCCAAAAGCCCAGUCUUGAAAGUCAUAUUCUCAUCUCAAAACCGAAGAUUCAUGGGAGGGGAUUAGGCUUCCAUUUGGGUCAGACUGAAGCUCCACGGGUCAGGCUUCCAUUUAGGUUUUGUUUUGGGUUAGGGAUUUUGUGGAUCUUGUAUUGCUGCUCAGUUCUUCCCGAUCUGAUCUUAGAGCUAAAAGCUUUACCCAAAUUUCGCACUCCAAAACCACCGCUGACCAGCGCACGGCGCCAUUUUGAGCUUUGGCGGACAAGUCCUCGGCUCAUCUCUAAUUCUCUCUUGUCAGUAUAACCAAAAACACUAGAGCGAUACCAGCAAUCUUGCUUCACUCCUCAGGAUAACAGCAUUGAACGUGAAGCACAGCUGCUGGAUUUCUGCACUGGAUAGCUGCUGCCUGCAGAGUGUGG